rnacentral:rRNA from 1 species
GAUGAACGCUGGCGGCGUGCCUAAUACAUGCAAGUCGAGCGGACGGACGCGGAGCUUGCUUUUCUGAUGUUAGCGACGGACGGGUGAGUCACACGUGGAUAACCCACCUAUAAGACUUGGAUAACUUCGAGAAACUGGAGUUAAUACUGGAUAAUAUUUUGAACGUGAUGGUUCAUAAGUGUAAUACGUUUUUGCUGUCCCCUAUAGCUGUAUGCGCGCUGCAUUAGCUAGUUGGUAAGGUAACGGCUUACCAAGGCAACGAUGCAUAGCCGACCUGACAGGGUGUUGGGCCACACUGGGACUGAGCCACGGUCCAGGCACCGACGGGAGGCAGAAGUAGGGACGCUUGCGCAAUGGGCGAAAGCCUGACGGAGCGGCGCCGCGUGGGUGAUGAAGGUCUUCGGAUCGUAAAACUCUGUUAUUAGGGAAGACCACUUGUGUAAGUAACGGUGCACAUCGUGACGGUACCUAAUCAGAAAGCCCCGGCUAACUACGUG